GACGAACGCUGGCGGCGUGCUUAACACAUGCAAGUCGAACGCUGAAGCUUGGUGCUUGCACUGGGUGGAUGAGUGGCGAACGGGUGAGUAAUACGUGAGUAACCUGCCCUUGACUCUGGGAUAAGCCUGGGAAACUGGGUCUAAUACUGGAUACGACAUGUCACCGCAUGGUGGUGUGUGGAAAGGGUUUUACUGGUUUUGGAUGGGCUCACGGCCUAUCAGCUUGUUGGUGGGGUAAUGGCUCACCAAGGCGACGACGGGUAGCCGGCCUGGGAGGGUGACCGGCCACACUGGGACUGAGACACGGCCCAGACUCCUACGGGAGGCAGCAGUGGGGAAUAUUGCACAAUGGGCGGAAGCCUGAUGCAGCGACGCCGCGUGAGGGAUGACGGCCUUCGGGUUGUAAACCUCUUUCAGCACGGAAGAAGCGAAAGUGACGGUACGUGCAGAAGAAGCGCCGGCUAACUACGUG
rnacentral:rRNA from 1 species